AGCACAGCUGUGGACAAUUGCGCAUAACAAGACAGGGAGGACACGGAACUGAAAAUACUGACCCAAGACGCAGACCUUAAACGUAACACAGGAAGAACACAGAGAUGCAGAGAGGAGGAGGAGACAGAGAGCAAGGAGGAGCACAUGACAGGUACUUGCAGGUCUGGCAGCUGGUGUAAACAGGGACAAGGAACAGUGACAUUGAAACCACACAGAGGUGAUCGUGCUGCCUGGAUAUGCAGAGCUCCUUCGAAAGUGAGGUACAACUAAACCCCUGAACACCUGGCUCCUCAAGUUAUCCUGUCAGCCUGCCUCCACUCCACUCAGCACAGUCUAAAAGCUGUGGGGGUGUUAGGACCGUCUGUACCCACAUCGUCCCAGGUGCCAUUCUUGUGGAACGAUGCUGCCCAGAAUGCUUUCACCACUCUUAAGGACCAGUUGCCACUGUACCAGCCUGACACUACCCAACAGUUUGUCGUGGAGGUGGACGCUUCAAAUUCCAGGAUUGGGGCCCUUCCAUCCCUGGUCACAUAUCUCCUUGGACUUCAUCACUGGCCUCCCACAGUCUGCAGAUAAUACCGUCAUUCUAACCAUUGUUGACCACUUCUCCAAAGCAGCUCAAUUCAUGGCUCUUCCCAAGCUUCUGUCUGCCUUGGAGACAGACCAACUCCUCACUAACCAAGUGUUUCAUGAGAGAUGAACUAAGAGCUGUAAACCGCCCUCUGAUGUGUGGUAUCAUCCAACCCUUCCACCUGAGCACCUCACCAGCUAGUGGUCUCUCACCUUUUGAAUUAUCCUUGGGAUGUCAGCCAUGCACUAAAGAGCAGAACAAGCACCUCACUGCAGACUCUCUCCAAGCUUUAUUGCACCCUUUGAAAUCGACUCCCUUAUCAACCCGGUUUCUGUUCGUCUAAGACUGCUGUGGAAUAUUCGCAUCCAUAAUAUCUUCCAUGUCUCCCACCUCGAACCCUCCAUCUCUAGCCCAUUGUUCCUGCCAGCCUGAGUGUUGUCUAACCGCAGCAGUCUUCACCUCGCCUCUCUGUAAGUCUGUUUCUGUUAACUCCAUGAAGGUUUCUAAUGUGUCUCAUCCUAGGACAGCCCAGCGGUGUUCCGAGAGAUUCUGUUCGGGAGACUCGGGGAGGAUCAGGGACUUGGAUUCACUGAACCUCCCUUCCUCUUCAUAUUUCCUCCAUAGUAUAGCUUCAUCUCCCAUUGUGAAAUUCAGCUACUCUACAGUCGCGACACUCCAUAAUUGUGACUGGUCGUUGUUAAUGAGAUUAAUUACAGGUUCACUAGAAGGACAAGAAGGCAAAGCUGUGUCUCCCAGUAAUCUUGAGAGGAUUACACUAGCUGUCUCUAUUUUCCCCAGGUAUUCCCCACAGUCUCCCUUUGUAGUUUGUCAGGUUGUUGGUUUGUCCCUUUCUCAUAUGUGUUUUGCUUCUUGGUCUUAUGCCCUUUUGACCUCAAUGUUAUUUAUUUAUUUAUUUUUGUCAGUUUUUGUGUUAAUAUUUCUGUAUGUACUGUAGAAAACCCCCAAAUCUUUGCCUCUUUGCACCAAGAAACGUUAAUGAUAGGUUGCUGGAAUAUUUGU